UACGGGGGGGGCAAGCGUUGUUCGGAAUUACUGGGCGUAAAGGGCUCGUAGGCGGCCAACUAAGUCAGACGUGAAAUCCCUCGGCUUAACCGGGGAACUGCCUCUGAUACUGGAUGGCUUGAGAUUGGGAGAGGGAUGCGGAAUUCCAGGUGUAGCGGUGAAAUGCGUAGAUAUCAUCUGGAACGCCAAUGGUGAAGACAGCUCGCUGGGGGUGUACUGACACUGAGACACGAAAGCCAGGGGAGCAAACGGG
rnacentral:rRNA from 1 species